CUUGCCUUUCUAUUCCCCAAGCUCAACAGAGUGAAUGUGAUGGAUGCAGCUUCAUUUUGGGUGCAGAGACCGUGUUCUUGAGUAAUAUGUUUUAACUGAAAAAGAAGAUAAAAUAAUAGCAACACCGGUGCUUCUACAAGGCGAUCUCCAGAACCAUUUUUGGCUAUUCACAUUCUUGUUGUGUCUCAUAAUCCACAUAAACAAUGUGGGAUUGGCUGCUGGCAGUUUGAUCAGUUUGAGCUGCCGUUACUCUUGGGAUUGGCAAUUUUCUGGCUUUUGAAAGCAAGCUGCUUGCAAGCAGAGUUCAGAUGUCUAGGCAGAGGACUGACCCGCCGCAUCCAGGUUUUCAGAGCUGUUGACAAGACUGAGGCUUUCCAGUUCCUCCAGGGAACAGCUGCCCAGGCCCUGAGAUGGAGCUGCACUUCUGGUUACCCAGAGAAUCUUUUCUGCUGCGUGCUGAGAAGUGUGCGCACCCUUCACGUGUGAGUGCCCUCAGGGUUGUAGCAGAGCUCUGACCUAGGGUGGUUGUUCACAUUCUGGUGUAUCCUGUCUGCCUGUCCUUCUCCUGAGCUCCUCUGGCUGUCAGAGGGUGUAACUGUACUCCGUGCUGGCAGAACCACGCCUGGUGGUGUUGCCCAGUCCCUCGCUGGAGGCCAGCCAGGAGCAGGCAGUUCUGUGCAGGACAAAUCGGUACAAAGGCACAUGCGACACCCAGCUCUGCUUUUCCCUCACCUGUACUGCCUGGUAAAUCUGGAAAAGGAGCUUUGUGUCUUGCUGUCCUGCACGGUUCUGCUGCUUUCACUGUGUGAGAGAUCUUUGCCACGUGUACGAUUGCUUUGUUUGUAAUUUGUAGUUACUCAAAGGGGUGUGCAGGUUGCAUUGCUGUUGGGGCUUUUUAAAGGGAAAAGUUUGUUGCUUAAUUGUGUUAUGAGCACGGUUAAAAUGGAAAGCAUAACCGUGUUGUAUUUAUUACUGUUCCGCCAUAACAGCCCAGAGCUGUAACACACCAAAAUGUUACGCUUGAAAGAAUUUUCCUCAUUUGCAUGUGGUGUUGACUUACACUUUUAACACAUAAUGGAAGUGGUUGUGUUGUAGUUAGAUUUUUCUGCAAGUGCUUUCUCGGAGUGUGCCCUGUGAAUCUGAUGUGGUUGAGAUUUAUAGCGGUGCUGAGUGUGUUCGCUGCCUCGGUCAGCUGCGAGAGCUCUCCCGCUGGGGCUGCUCCUCCCUGAUGGAAAAGGAGCAGCUGGGAAGGUGCUGUUUCAGGCUCUUGCUGGCAUUAUAAAAAAAAAAAGAAAAGGAAAAAACAAACUCCUCACACACUUACAUUGGAGAGGGGGAACCAGGCCACGUGACUCCCACCAUCCUACCCUAUGUCACCAUGUGUGUAGGAGCGCUGACUGCUCCUGCCCAAUCAUGCCUGGAAUGCUGCUUGCCACUUGGGCUAUUUCUGCUAUCUGUCGCUCCCAGGGCUGCAGUGCUAACCGUUUGGCAGAUGGGACACUUUUUCUAGGAGUUUAUGUCUUUGGUUUUUAACUUCUGGCAGUGCCUGAAUUGUUGCUGUUCUCCCUCUCCUUUUCUUCUCUCUGUAAAACCAUGGCCCAUCGGCUGCGGUUUCAUUUCGGCUCUGGGAGAAGCAACACAGCCCCCGAAUCGGAGAUCCUUGCCCGGGAGAGAGAAGAUGACUUUUUCAUGGCGUUCCACACCUUGCCAAGAAGAAGCAGCCCUCACGCGUUCUCGCGGCACGGAGCGGAUUACGGCGGCGAUGGAGAUCCGCAGGAAGUGGGCUCCUUGAAAAGGAGCACAUCCAUGUUCAUCCCGCAGCUGCUGAACGGCCUCGACACGCGCCCCACCAGGAGCUCAUCCAUGCAGAUCUCGCUGCAGCGCAAAGGCGCCGACGGCUGCGCCGACGAGUCCCCGGAGUCUCCAGAGGAGACGCCUCUCUGUAAAUUCACAGACUUGAGGGAGCGUUACGCAUCCUCUGCUGAAAACCGCUCUUCUCCGAGCGCUCCACAGGUGACUCCUGAAAGUUCUUCACCCGGGCUGCCGGAGGAGUUAGGGCAGCAGACGGAUGGAACCGUCUGCUGUAACCGUAGAGUAUUUUGUAGUGUUCCAACUAAUAACCAGAGCGAGGAGGCUCUGCUGCCUGCCCAGCGAGAAGAAGCAAGUGAAGCAGCUUCAGCUUUGAACAUAAGCGGCGUGAGGAUUCAGCACCGGGCCUCAAGCACAGAUGUGCCUCAAGUUACUCUACUUCCCUUUGGUCCCGAGGCUCCAAAUAAUGCUCCCACCCCUGAACCCCGACGCUGGUCCUUGCAGCAUGUGCCAGAUCUGUCAGCAAAUUCAGGGAAAAAGUUCUUUGUUCUCCAGUUACAGCAGCCACAGACGAGCGGUGCAGGCGCAGGAGGUGGAGGUAACUUCGGCUUUACCGGAACCAAAGGGGACAGAUUGGUCAGGUACCCUCGGAUCCGGCUGGAAAGGAGUACUUCCUACCCUGUCCAGCCACCAGCAGAGGGAAUUAGCCCCGCAGGUGAUGGGCUGAGUUCAGAACUGCCUGGAAACAGCAGGAACAGGGCAGAAAUACCUAGAAGCAAUUCAGUAGAGCGGAUGCCUCAAGGGCAGGGAUGCUUGUUUAAAAUCAGACCGGAUCAAAACAUGAGGCAGCAGCACUUCAGGAUUCUUGUCACACGUGGGCCUGAAGAACAAAGUCAGGGCGUUGGUCACCCAAAGGAGGCCAGCGGCACCCCCGGUCCCACGGCGGCCGGCCCCGCAACCAGAGACGACUUCCUGGGCCAGGUGGAUGUGCCGCUCAGUCACCUUCCGACUGAAGACCCAACUAUGGAGAGGCCAUACACAUUUAAGGAUUUCCUCCUCAGACCAAGAAGCCACAAAUCUCGUGUGAAGGGUUUCUUGAGACUGAAGAUGGCGUAUAUGCCCAAAAAUGGCGGCCAAGAGGAAGAAAAUAGUGAUCAGAGGGAUGACUCUGAGCAUGGCUGGGACGUGGUGGAUUCCAGCGAUGCCGCGUCUCAACGUCAGGAGGAGCUGCCACCUCCUCCGCUGCCUCCUGGCUGGGAAGAGAAGGUGGACAACCUGGGGCGGACUUACUACGUGAAUCACAACAACAGGACCACCCAGUGGCACCGACCCAGCCUCAUCGAUGUGGGGUCCGAGUCAGAUAACAACAUCAGGCAGAUAAACCAAGAGGCAGCUCACCGGCGCUUCCGCUCUCGGCGCCACAUCAGCGAGGAUUUGGAGCCAGAGCCUAUGGAGAGUGGAGACAUUCCUGAGCCUUGGGAAACCAUUUCAGAGGAGGCAAGUGCCAGUGGGGAUUCCUUAAGCUUGUCACUGCCACCUCCUCCUGCAUCUCCAGUGUCCCGGACCAGUCCUCAGGAGCUGUCUGAGGAGCUGAGCAGAAGACUCCAGGUCACUCCUGAUUCCAAUGGGGAACAACUCGGCUCUUUGAUUCAAAGAGAACCUUCUUCACGACUGAGGUCCUGCAGUGUGACAGACACAGUCGCUGAACAGUCCCAGCUAUCCCUGCAGAAUGGUCCCUCUAGGAGAGCUCGUUCUUCAACUGUCACAGGGGGAGAGGAGCCAACGCCUUCUGUGGCUUACGUGCACACCACGCCUGGAUUACCUUCGGGCUGGGAGGAGCGCAAGGACGCCAAGGGCCGGACCUACUACGUCAACCACAACAACCGGACCACAACGUGGACACGGCCCAUCAUGCAGCUCGCCGAGGAUGGGAUGGUGGGGCCGGGCACGAGCAGCAGCAACCACCUGAGCGAGCCACAGAUCCGGCGGCCCCGCAGCCUCAGCUCCCCCACGGUCACCCUGUCAGCACCGCUCGAGGGCAUGAAGGACUCUCCGGUGCGCAGGGCAGUGAAGGACACGCUCUCCAACCCUCAGUCCCCGCAGCCAUCCCCCUACAACUCCCCCAAGCCCCAGCACAAGGGGGCCCAGAGCUUCCUGCCCCCGGGCUGGGAGAUGCGCAUCGCCCCGAACGGCCGCCCCUUCUUCAUCGACCACAACACCAAGACCACCACGUGGGAGGAUCCACGGCUGAAGUUUCCGGUGCAUUUGAGAUCCAAAGCAUCUCUGAACCCCAAUGACUUGGGCCCUCUUCCUCCUGGCUGGGAGGAAAGAAUACACCUGGAUGGAAGAACGUUUUAUAUAGACCAUAGAAGCCAGGUGUUGAUAUGUGGAGACAUUGAUACCAGAGACUUAGUGCCCUCCUACGAUAAUAAAAUUACGCAGUGGGAAGACCCCAGGCUGCAGAACCCAGCCAUCACGGGCCCAGCAGUGCCGUACUCCAGGGAGUUCAAGCAGAAGUACGACUAUUUCCGCAAGAAGUUAAAGAAACCUGCUGACAUACCCAACAGAUUUGAGAUGAAAUUACACAGAAAUAACAUUUUUGAGGAGUCCUACAGAAGAAUCAUGUCUGUGAAGAGACCUGAUGUACUAAAAGCCAGACUCUGGAUUGAAUUUGAGUCAGAAAAAGGACUUGACUAUGGAGGUGUGGCCAGAGAAUGGUUUUUUCUCUUGUCCAAGGAGAUGUUUAACCCUUACUAUGGUCUCUUUGAAUACUCAGCAACGGACAACUAUACACUUCAGAUUAAUCCUAAUUCAGGUCUCUGUAACGAAGACCAUCUGUCGUACUUCACGUUCAUUGGCCGGGUUGCCGGCCUGGCCGUGUACCACGGGAAGCUGCUGGACGGCUUCUUCAUCAGACCUUUCUACAAGAUGAUGCUGGGGAAGCCCAUAACUCUGAAGGACAUGGAGUCAGUGGAUAGCGAAUACUACAACUCUCUGAAGUGGAUCCUGGAAAAUGACCCUACGGAGCUGGAUCUCAUGUUUUGCAUAGAUGAGGAAAACUUUGGACAGACAUAUCAAGUGGACCUGAAGCCCAAUGGGUCCGAAAUCAUGGUAACAAAUGAAAACAAGCGGGAAUACAUUGAGCGAGGUGCUGUGUCCUGACAGCUCUCCUCAGAGCUUGCAGACUUUGCUGGGAAUUUUUAAUUACUCAGUGCUCUGGAAGAAUAAAAUGUCUGCUCACCCUGGUCAUCCAGUGGCGGUUUGUCAACAGAGUGCAGAAACAAAUGAAUGCCUUUCUGGAG